rnacentral:rRNA from 1 species
CCUACGGGAGGCUGCAGUGGGGAAUAUUGGACAAUGGGGGGAACCCUGAUCCAGCCAUGCCGCGUGUGUGAAGAAGGCCCUCGGGUUGUAAAGCACUUUCAGUGAGGAAGAACGCCUGGUGGUUAAUACCCAUCAGGAAAGACAUCACUCACAGAAGAAGCACCGGCUAACUCCGUGCCAGCAGCCGCGGUAAUACGGAGGGUGCGAGCGUUAAUCGGAAUUACUGGGCGUAAAGCGCGCGUAGGUGGCUUGAUAAGCCGGUUGUGAAAGCCCCGGGCUCAACCUGGGAACGGCAUCCGGAACUGUCAAGCUAGAGUGCAGGAGAGGAGGGUAGAAUUCCCGGUGUAGCGGUGAAAUGCGUAGAGAUCGGGAGGAAUACCAGUGGCGAAGGCGGCCUUCUGGACUGACACUGACACUGAGGUGCGAAAGCGUGGGUAGCAAACAGGAUUAGAUACCCCGGUAGUC